AGCAAAACUUGAAAAUGAUAUUUCAUAAAAAUCUCUUUAAACUAGUGGCUCAGGCCAAUAAUGUAUUCCCUCAAAAUAAGUACGUUUUCUUUUUGAGAGUUUCUCUUAACCGACAUGUGCGCAACAUGAAGUACAAAGUCUUUUUCACAUUGCCAGAACCCAAGGUCUUGUCCAGUUCUGCCCACCUAUACCUUGUCAGGUUAUAAGACGUGACAUAAUCUAGGGAUCCAUCCCAAAGCUGAGCCCGGAGGCUAUAAAUAAUAGAGGAGUCAUCCCAUCUGCGGAUUAUUCUUUCCUUCGAAAUAUGGCGACAUAAUUUUGGAAUAUGAAACCUUAGACUCGUACCCAUCUUGAUGCUAAAUAAUCCUCGCAAAAGUAUACUAGUUACUCAUAUUAUACAUCUUUAAACAAUUUUAUAAAAUCAUGCUUGACUCAAAAUAUCAUAGCAUGUACAUAUUUAUUUGUGUGAGCCUUGACUCUAAAUCUCUUUAACUUUUACUUUACAAGCUACGAUAAGUUUUUGUACUUUCCAAGCCAUGAUAUUAUUCAAAGCAAUUCUCAUAAUCUUUUCACGAAUUUAUAGUACUUAAAGAGUUUUCAAGUAAACUUUGGACAGAAUAGAUCUCAUCAGCGGCGGACCCAAAAUUCAAGGAGUGUGGGUGCUUACUACAGCAAAAAAAUAAAAAAUCAUCUCAACCAAAUUUGAACCCGAGCACACCUACCAGUAGAGAGACUUAAGAUCCAGCUAAAUGCCAGUGCAUCUAACCAACUUCUUGUUUAGUGGGUGCUUUUAUAUAAUUUAUACCUAUUUUCAUAUAUUUUUUAUAUGAUUAUACCUAUUUCGUGUCGAGUUUGGUGGGUGUCGGAGCACCCAAAAAUUAUGUGUAGGUCCGCCCUUGGAUCUCAUGAAAACAAGUGAUAAACUUUAAGUAACAUUAAUAAAACUCAUAAACAUUAUAUGGAGAAAACUGAUAGACAUGCCAUGAAAUUCAAUCUUGAGAAAGACAUCUAACCCAUAGAACUAACAUUAAUAUUUAAGAAAUAACUAAGAAAGUUGUAACAAGGAUAAAAACUAAUACUUAAAAAUAUUUAAAUUUGAAACCCUACUAAAUCAUGAACUUAAUGUGAAAGUAAGACUCAAUUGUGGGAAAGAAUGGGUUCCUCAUGAAAGGUGUUGCUCUUACGUACCUCAGAGAUGAUCUAUGGGGAAGAGCCCUUUGAAUUUGGAGCCCUACCUUAAUCUUUCUUGAAGCUUGAAUGUUUUAAAACCUUGAGAAGAUUUGAGAGGAUGCUUUUAAUCAAUAUUAAGGUAAAUAGAAGAGUGGGAAAUAUUUUAGAAGGGUGGAGAACGAUUGAGGUUAAGGAAAGGACCAAAAAGCCCCAGAAAUAACGCCGGAGAAAAUUUUCCAUCGGGGCCUUGGGUUUGUGGCCGCAUAAUAGCUUGCAUAUGGCUUCUAGUAACUUCUCCAAACCAAAUGCCUGUGUUUUCUUGGUCUGCGUUGGGUUUGCAAACGCAGAAAGGGAUUUUCCAUCGUAAAUCAGUCCGAAAAACUUUUCAUUGUGUAAGUCAGUUUACUAACUUUUGAUAAAAUGAUCAUAACUUUACACUCCGAAAUCAGAUUCACAAACAACCAGUGGUAUUAGAAAGAAGACUCCAAGAACUUUCAUUUGGUGUAUGUUGGGCCGCAAAACUCUUCAUAUUCUUAGAGUUAUGUUCGUUUGAAUUUGACCCUAGUAAAAUCUUAUACGAAAACUCAAUCAGUAAAGAAGCUUUCAAUUUAACUUUGAGCUAGAAGUUUCUUAUGAC
rnacentral:lncRNA from 1 species